CCGGAGCUUGCUCCACCGGAAAAAGAGGAGUGGCGAACGGGUGAGUAACACGUGGGUAACCUGCCCAUCAGAAGGGGAUAACACUUGGAAACAGGUGCUAAUACCGUAUAACAAUCNAAACCGCAUGGUUUUGAUUUGAAAGGCGCUUUCGGGUGUCGCUGAUGGAUGGACCCGCGGUGCAUUAGCUAGUUGGUGAGGUAACGGCUCACCAAGGCCACGAUGCAUAGCCGACCUGAGAGGGUGAUCGGCCACAUUGGGACUGAGACACGGCCCAAACUCCUACGGGAGGCAGCAGUAGGGAAUCUUCGGCAAUGGACGAAAGUCUGACCGAGCAACGCCGCGUGAGUGAAGAAGGUUUUCGGAUCGUAAAACUCUGUUGUUAGAGAAGAACAAGGAUGAGAGUAACUGUUCAUCCCUUGACGGUAUCUAACCAGAAAGCCACGGCUAACUACGUGCCAGCAGCCGCGGUAAUACGUAGGUGGCAAGCGUUGUCCGGAUUUAUUGGGCGUAAAGCGAGCGCAGGCGGUUUCUUAAGUCUGAUGUGAAAGCCCCCGGCUCAACCGGGGAGGGUCAUUGGAAACUGGGAGACUUGAGUGCAGAAGAGGAGAGUGGAAUUCCAUGUGUAGCGGUGAAAUGCGUAGAUAUAUGGAGGAACACCAGUGGCGAA
rnacentral:rRNA from 1 species